rnacentral:lncRNA from 1 species
CGCAUGAAUAAGGAUCCACGGAGGCUCCCACACAGCGCACCAUUCCUGAAAUAUGUGACUAACAUUUGCCUUUGCAGUCCACGCGUGCUGCGAGCUAAGGGUCUCUUCUGAUUCUGCACCUCUUCCCAUGAAACGCUGGAUGCUAGUAACAUAAGAAACAAACCUAUUUCUAGCACCAUUUUUUUUUUGGCCCCACCCCGUGACUUGCAGGAUCUCAGCUGCCUGACCAGGGAUUGAACCCCAGGCAGGCCACCGCCCGAAUCCUAAUCACUGACUGCCAGGGAAUUUCCUGCAGGAGACCAAGUCUUGAAGACUUGUCUUCACAGCUCAUCCGUGUUGAAGCAUGUAUCAGAGCUUCAUUCCUUUCUAAGGCUGAACCAUCUUCACCAAGAUCCCUGGCCAGGGGCUGGACGUCCUGGAGCCAUGAGAGAGGGCACUUGGGGAAAAGAUGGAGAUACUCGAGGAAACAAUACACAGUAUUUAUCUAAGUCUGCGAGGAAAUUGCAACCUGUGGGGUUGAGGCGAACGAUGGACGCGCUGUCUCCUGCUUCAUCGGCCACAGCCUGGCCCAGCAACACGUUGCACACAACGCUUUGACUUUCAGACAAUAAAGGAGGGUCUCUCACAAGGAAGCUGUCUCAGAUACAGUCUGUGUGCUCUACAGUGAUUUCAGCGUUGAUUGGAGAAGAAACGUUCCUCUUUUUAUAUUUUUAGGCUGACAACACGACUGCCAACAGAGCCUUUACAAAACAGGACAUAGCCUGAAACAAUAAUAUUAGGUGUUUCUCUUACAAUGCACUUACGUAGGAAGGAUCUGGAUGUGUAAGGAAGUAUAAUUAGAACAUAAUUUUAAAAACUCAGCAGAACCCAAUAAAUCUCAGAAAUGGCUAGCAUAUGGGGGUGGGGUGGGAGG